UACAGAGGGUGCGAGCGUUGUUCGGAAUUAUUGGGCGUAAAGGGCGCGUAGGCGGUUGAGUAAGUCACCUGUGAAAUCUCCCGGCUCAACUGGGAGGGUGCGCCGAAUACUGAGUGACUAGAGUGCGGGAGAGGAGAGUGGAAUUCCUGGUGUAGCGGUGAAAUGCGUAGAUAUCAGGAGGAACACUGGUGGUGUAGCCGGCUCUCUGGACCGUAACUGACGCUGAGACACGAAAGCGUGGGUAGCAAACAGG
rnacentral:rRNA from 1 species